UACGAAGGGGGCUAGCGUUGUUCGGAAUUACUGGGCGUAAAGCGCACGUAGGCGGACUAUUAAGUCAGGGGUGAAAUCCCGGGGCUCAACCCCGGAACUGCCUUUGAUACUGGUAGUCUCGAGUCCGGAAGAGGUGAGUGGAAUUCCGAGUGUAGAGGUGAAAUUCGUAGAUAUUCGGAGGAACACCAGUGGCGAAGGCGGCUCACUGGUCCGGUACUGACGCUGAGAUACGAAAGCCAAGGUAGCAAACAGG
rnacentral:rRNA from 1 species